CACUGAGUCAGGAAAAACAUUCAGAGCCUGAGCCGGGAUGUUGCUAGUGAAGCAGAGAUUUCAGUGAAUGGCAUCCAUUCUGUGGCUCAAACCAAGAUCCCACGAGACAUCUUUCACUUCCAACAAGAGUAACUGUGAUGUUUAUCACUUGAAGUGCUGUGUUCUUGAGAGUGAAAGGAGGCGCUAAGAAGUAAUUACUCUGACGCAACCAGGAUCGGUGGUGACUCUCCUGCUUGUUUCUCUCACCACUUGCUGACCCAUCAAUCAAUCAUCAAGUCUUGUCAGUUCCAUCUCCUAAAGAUCUCUCAGACUCCACUGACCCCGUUUUUGUUGCCUUUAUCUCUUGCUCUCAGUUUUACAGUUUCCAGUCCGUUUUCUACCUAACAGAGGGAUCUUUCUAAAAUAUACAUUUGAG
ensembl:lncRNA